GGGCCGGUGGUGUAAGGCGAACAUCGCUGCCCGGAAAGCAGAAGAUGCGGGUUCGAGUCCCGCCUGGCGCA
rnacentral:tRNA from 1 species